rnacentral:rRNA from 1 species
AGUGAACGCUGGCGGUAGGCCUAACACAUGCAAGUCGAACGGCAGCACAGUAAGAGCUUGCUCUUACGGGUGGCGAGUGGCGGACGGGUGAGGCAUACAUCGGAAUCUACUUUUUCGUGGGGGAUAACGUAGGGAAACUUACGCUAAUACCGCAUACGACCUACGGGUGAAAGCAGUGGAUCUUCGGACCUUGCGCGAUUGAUUGAGCCGAUGUCGGAUUAGCUAGUUGGCGGGGUAAAGGCCCACCAAGGCGACGAUCCGUAGCUGGUCUGAGAGGAUGAUCGGCCACACUGGAACUGAGACACGGUCCAGACUCCUACGGGAGGCAGCAGUGGGGAAUAUUGGGCAAUGGGCGCAAGCCUGAUCCAGCCAUACCGCGUGGGUGAAGAAGGCCUUCGGGUUGUAAAGCCCUUUUGUUGGGAAAGAAAAGCAGCAGGUUAAUACCCCGCUGUUCUGACGGUACCCAAAGAAUAAGCACCGGCUAACUUCGUG